UCCUCAGUUCGUACCCUCCAGCUGUUCCCGCGACAGCAGUCAUUGCAAGCCUUCUUCCUCACAUCGUACUUUCCUGCUGUUCCCACCGACAGCAGUCACCGCAAACCUCCUUCCUCACACCGUAUCCUCCCACUGUUCCCGCCGACAGCAGGCAUCGCUAACCUACUUCGUCACACUGUAUCCUCCUGCUGUUCCCGCCGACAGCAGGCAUUGCAAACCACUCUUCACAUCGUACGCUGAGCUGUUCCCGCCGACAGCUCUCGCACGGCACUCACCAAAUUCCUUCUCCCAAGUAUCACAGAAAGCCACCACACACACCCAUGUAGCGUAAGCCCUUGCCAGAUUAUUCGCACACCACCACCACCACAGCUGUUCGUGCAGGCGAGCUGACAAUGUCGGCUCAGCUUUGACCGCGAUGACUCCUCGGACCAGACAACGCCUCGUAUCUAACGGACAUAAGAGCUAUAGCUGACACAUCUCCAGCUUCUUACAUCGUGCCCUGCUCGAAGCCCUCAUAAUGGAAAUUAAUGCCUCAAUCGCCAACAUCCGCCACGCCACAGGGGGGAGGCUGGAGAGGUGACGCUGAGCUACAGGGCGUGUGGCGGCGGUGGUGGCAGCGACGUAGCAGCCGGCAGCCAGCAGCCACAGGAGCCGCCGCUGCACGCCGUCCUCAUUCGUUGUUUUGUCCCAGCGCUGUACAUACAAUCUGACACUCACAACGGCAACAACUCUAGUGUUAAAUAAAUACCUCUUACCUGCCGUAAGUAAGCUUAUUCGCGUAGACUAAACUUGCGUUCUUGCUGUCAACACUGCUGUGUGCUUUAUUGGAAUUUUUUAUCAAUGUUGUUGGUGGUGUUAAUUGGUGUUUUUUCGAUGUCCAUGUGCAUUUCGUGUAAAUAUUGUCUACUUAAAUCAGUGUAAUGAAGAAACAAAUGACGGUAACGAAUUUGCUCAACGAGCGGCUCUCCGACUCAGUGCGCCGUCAACGAUUCCUCUACCGAAGACUCGAGGGGCGGCAUUCAGCUCGUCGUGACAUCCGGAGUCCCUGUUUCUGUGUGCCGGCAGAACUACACCCCUCUUCGGCCUCUCUCUUUCUCUUUUUAGUGAGCGCUAAUUAGCAGUUAAUGACAAUGACUUUCUCCAAUUUCUCACAUAACAAUUUCGCUAAAUAGUUUAGUACCACUGAUAACCUUACAGAGUCAUAAAUGCUACCCACACGUCCUCACUUUUCCUCUACUCUAAGCUAUGGCUUUUUGUUGACUGCUUGAUUUCGCCCUCUUUUUCUGCUGUCGCAUUUCAGAGCUUCGCUUACGAGGUGUGCCGGCCACACCCCAUUUCCGGCCAAAGCGAGACGUUGUGAACACCAACAGGAUUACCUUGCUAUAAAGUUCAUUACAUCCUUUCUGUCCAUCAGUUGGGCUCAUAUGUAUCAGUAUUAAAGCGUCAGAUAUGUUGAAACACCUUUGAUAACAACACAGGCUGUGUCAGUGCUAUCGUUACCAAAGUUAGUUUUUAAGAUUAGUGAUAAGUCUAUUCUCAGGCAUUUUAAUGUAAUAUUCGGUCAUGUGAUUGUCAUCGGUUUAUUUGUAGUUAGGUUAUGGUGUUAGGAAUAGUCCAAAAAUUAAAUAUUUAUCCUCCAAAUGAGCAGCAUUCACAAUUAGAGGUGCCUACUCCUACGGAACUCUGUCGCGUCGUUUCACCCAUCGUCACUCAUUUCCUCUCCAAUUCAUCACCACGCUGUUUUUUUUUCCGUGGGUAGUCACGAGCGGCGCUGUUCGCCAGCUGGUGAACGUUGUGUGCGCUCUGCCUAUUGUUCUGCCCGCAGUAGUCAAGUAGUCACCAGUGUCAUUAUCAUUCAGCGAGUCAAAUAAGUUAUGUCCUUCUCCCUUCUCUUAUCAUAUGUACAUCUCGUUCCCGAUCCUUCACGAAGUCUUCCAUUUCGUAAUAGCUGCGGCACGUGCUGCUCGUGACAUGAAGACUGUUCUGUGACUGUAUCUCUAUAACCAACUGUACCACGCAACUGCAACAUUUCAUCCACCUCAGUCUUUAGACAGCCACGACAGCAGCAGUUGUUCCCAAUUGUAAAUAGUUUCCCGUUCCACAUCCAUAGUAGCUGACAAUUCUGCCCUUCAGAUCUCGCGUUGACCGAGUUGUCACUUAUUGUGGGAUUUCAGAGAAUUUUAUUUAUAUGAGGCGAAAUUAGUUUGUGUGUCUUAUUGAUGUAAAAAACGAUGUUAGUGGCACUCCAGAAUGUCGCUUUUGCCUCAGUUUCUUACACGGUUUGCAAUCUUUUCACGCUGAAUAAUGAGCUCUUUCAGUUCUUACACAUUUUUAGGAUAUUAUGUAGCUGAGGUUACUUGAGCAGCUUAGUGACGAAAUCCAUAAUUUUAUUUAUGCAUUCCUAGUGCUUGUGCAGUAAGUGUAAAGUAAAAGAAGUUUUCGGGUAAGAAAUCCACCUUCAGUCAUAAAACAGGCCCAUAAGUAUGACUGAAGGUGGCUAUCUCACACCAAAACUUCUUUUUGUAAAAACCCAUGUUCGUUUUCCCCAAAAAUAGGUUGACUUUGAUACUGCCAUAAUAUUUUUAAUGCUCCAAACGAUUGAUGAUGUUUAAUUAUAGUGUUCAUUUUUCCUUUUGUCGAUUCCCUUGUUUGAGUACUAAAACUUAAAUCCAACCAUAAGAAACUGAAUUAUACGUUCCACUAUCGCGACCUCUUCAUAAACCGACUGCCAAAUUAUACGUUAUGGCUUGUUUUCAUAUGUCUUCCACAACCACGAAGUUUUCAGACUUUCAUGCUGAUACUUAGGCGACUGUUGCUUUGUGUAAUCUCUUACACUUACAGCGCCUGUGUUCAUGCGUCGAGUGCUUACAGAUCCAGGGCAUUAAAGUACAAAUCACUGGACUUCGUCUCUUGCGUUCAUAGUAAUCAACCGUAGUCUCAAUUUCAGUUCAAAAUUCCCUGUUGUUGGAUCUUUGGCCGUAAGGCUUCAUUUUACUUGGGUUGGGGAAGCACUGUCCGCUUCUUUCAUCUACAGCAAAAUUUUAUUUCCUACAUAUACUCUGUUCGCAUUUCAUUAAAUGUCUGUUUAUGUUGUACAUGUUUUAUAUAAAAUAACUGAUGUUUAUUUUGACGGCAGUAAGUCAUGCUUCACUUAAUAUAGUAUUUGCCCUUAGUUAGGAAUAGCUGUAAAUCUAAAUGCGACAGCUGGAAAUUCACACAGAACUCAAAUGCCGUUCUUAUGUCCACUGAUCACCCUGACAUCGCACGCGGUGACUCCGGUAUUGUGCUUAUGCACAGUUUAAUUUUACGCACACACCAUCUGUUUGUGAUACGCUAUAAGUCAUUUCUUCCUUCCCUUGCCCACUGUACAAAAGGUGUAUUUCUAGUUCGUAACGAGACUUGCGAUGAAUGCAUUGCGUUAUUUUUUAACUGACAGGGUAAUAAAACCUUAGCUGCAAGCUUCAAGCCUGUUAAUCGCCAGUGACAAUGAGUGACAAUGUGUUUUUUUUUAAUGUCUCCUUUCAAGUCUGCUUUGAAAACGGUGCUCGUUAUAUUUAAAUGUUGUUUGUGUUUUUAUUAUCUAGAGGUAUGAAAUCUAAAUUUCCGAAAUAUAAACGGCACACCUUUAUGUAUAACUGACUUUCAUUUAUUGUAAUGUUGUUUUGAACAUGAAUAGUAAGAAAAUUUCCAAAAUUUGGUUCUUAAAACUAAUUACUUUUUGACACUCAGUAGGAGAUUGUUUCACAAACUGACAAGGGAUUACGUUUUUCUUGAUUAAUAAUUUGAUUAAUUUUUCAUCUCAUGCAAGAAGAUGGGUGCAGAUUUUAAUUGCAAGUAGUUCAAGUGAUAGUUCCUUAUUACUGUGGCAGAGACGGUUAAGUAUGAGGAAAAGCUGUCACUGUCUUGUGUGACACUUAUUUUAACAUUAAUCAGAUCUAAUUAGUUGCAUAUAUAUCUUUUUACUGCUUACUACAUAGUUGAAUAGCUCUUUGAAUUCUGAUUCGCAGUUAGAGAACAUUUUUUGUCGUUGUUGCUAGUAGAAUGGUAGAAUAUCAUUGCUUUACAGUAACACAUGGUGAGACUGUUAUGUUUAGCUCUCGAGUGCAUUAGUAUAAAUUGACAUAGCUGUAUGUCUGGUCACAAAUAAAGUUACUUACUUUGUCAUUAA
rnacentral:lncRNA from 1 species